rnacentral:rRNA from 1 species
AACGAACGCUGGCGGCAGGCCUCAAACAUGCAAGUCUAGGGGGUGUAGCAAUACAUCACCGGCGGACGGGUGCGUAACACGUGGGAAUAUACCUUUUGGUUCGGAACAACGCAGGGAAACUUGCGCUAAUACCGAAUGUGCCCUUACGGGGAAAGAUUUAUCGCCAAAGGAUUAGCCCGCGUAGGAUUAGCUAGUUGGUGAGGUAAUGGCUCACCAAGGCUCCGAUCCUUAGCUGUUCUGAGAGGAAGAUCAGCCACACUGGGACUGAGACACGGCCCAGACUCCUACGGGUGGCUG